rnacentral:rRNA from 1 species
AUUGAACGCUGGCGGCAUGCCUUACACAUGCAAGUCGAACGGCAGCGCGGGAGCAAUCCUGGCGGCGAGUGGCGAACGGGUGAGUAAUAUAUCGGAACGUGCCCAGUAGUGGGGGAUAGCCCGGCGAAAGCCGGAUUAAUACCGCAUGAGACCUGAGGGUGAAAGCGGGGGAUCGCAAGACCUCGCGCUAUUGGAGCGGCCGAUAUCAGAUUAGCUAGUUGGUGGGGUAAAGGCCUACCAAGGCAACGAUCUGUAGUUGGUCUGAGAGGACGACCAGCCACACUGGGACUGAGACACGGCCCAGACUCCUACGGGAGGCAGCAGUUGGGAAUUUUGGACAAUGGGCGCAAGCCUGAUCCAGCAAUGCCGCGUGCAGG